UCCAUGCUGACUGCUUUGAUUUCUGAACAGAGCGAGCCAGCCCGGGUAAAGCCGUAAUUACCUCUCAAGGAUAAACGAUAAUAUCACUUUCCUCAUCACGUCUUUGGGGCGAGACGGUCGACGCUGCAGUCUCAUAGGCAAACGAAGCGAUUUCUAUAUAAGACGGUUCGUCCGCAACGCUUUCCAGACUGAGCUGGAAUGCCAAGUGAAUGCCACUUGAUUGUUUUCAGGUGGAUUCACUUGACAUUCCAGCUCAGGUUUUUCCGUGCGGGUGUUUGACUGGAAAAGCAGACUAAGGUGAGUACAUGCUUUUUUUCUUUUCUCUUGUUAUAAGUUCUUCCCCUGUGAGCGUGCAAGAUCACAGCCAUUUAUGGAAUGCAUGUACGUGAAAGAAAAAAGAAAAGAGGUUCAUUCCUUCCCACUGCCGACAUGCAAAUCUUUGUGAUUUUAAAGUGCACCUUCUUAGAUCGUCGCAGUAGAUGAAAUGAAAAAUGAACGAUUGCAAACAGUACAACAUUAUUUUUGUAUUUAGGACAUUGCAUUGCGUUGUAUGUUUUGGAGGACAUUGCUAAUUUACAAGUCGGCUUCACCUAACUUCUACGUGCGUUGCGGGAAGUCAACGUUAGGAAAUGCUCAAUCUUGCUGGAUUGCUUGUUUCUUUGCAUUUCAAUUCAGCGGAACGGUGUUUUUUUAAUUGUUUGACUUUGGUUCUUCAUAAAACAUAUUUUCCAGUUCAUCGUCUUUGUUGUAACUACUCCGACGAGGUUGAAGGGCCAUCUCACAUUUUGGGCUUGUAAGAUCGACUUCUUCUAAGCAUUUUUUAGCUUCUCUCUUUCAUUUCAUGUUCGGGUAACAACAGAACACUUCACCUGCACGUCAAUGGCAAACAGGUCAGAAAGAAAGGAAUGUGUCUACCUUCAUUUGUGAGAUGUAGCUAGUCUUCACCCAACUCCUACGUGCAUUGGGGGAAAGCCUACUUUAGGAAAUGUUCAGUCUUGCUACUGCAUGUUUCUUUGCAUUUAAACUUAGCGAAACGGUGUUUUUUUUUAAUCGUUUGAUUUUGGUUUGACAUAAAACAUAUUUUCCAGUUCAUCUUCCUUCUUUUGCUGUAACUACUCCGAGGAGGUUGAAGGGAAGAGUUUGAGAUCUUCCUUGACAACAAGGCAAAAAUGUGUGCUAUACAAUGAAGAAGAGGUGGAAAACUUUUUUUUUCAAGUUAAUCCACUCGGGAUUCCAGAUGAAGAUUUUUUUCUUCGUGACAGUGUUUGACUGGAAAGACAGACUGUGGAGACGUGUUUGAGACGACACACAGGCUGCAUCCGAAAUUCGUGUGUGUAACCUCUUCUCCAUCUGCCACACACAUCUCUACCUAGCACGGGCUGCUCUUCAUCUGCGUCUGAUGAUGACGACCAUGCACCAUCAAGCCGAGGAUCGACCUCAGGCCAUGUUGUGUCAUCGGCGGCUGACUUGUCUUGACUGGUCAUUACAAACCAAGUUCAUUCUAUACAGCAAGAGGAGAAAGCAAAUUGUCAUCAUAACAGCGAAGCCUCCAUAACACAAGUAAGCUAUGUCAUCCGUCAUGGAAAAGUUGGAUAAACUGAAAAAAUGUGGUGACGGUGAAAUUCAGAAAAUGAGCAACAUACCCAAAAACGAAAAGUUCGAAGUGCUGGACAUUCAGAAAAUUGACACUAUGUAUGGCGAGGCAGUAUAUGUGGAGCUCCGCAUGGAAAACGACAAGCCAGUGAAAGUGUGUCUACCUGGACGCUUCAAAAAAUUGUCGGAGGAAGAGCUAGAGGAAAUGCGACUGCUUCCAAAUCUCAAAAUGGAGAAGAAAGAACGGUUUACCAAAGAUGGUAAAAAAGUCAUUUCGCCAGAUAUUAUCUUCACCAAUUCGAAGAGAAAGUGAUGAGAUAUGGUGAUGUGUCACUUAUGCUCCCAGCACGAACGGCAGUAUUAUGCAACAGCAUUAGGUCUUCAGAUUCACUUAGCAAAUGUUCACAAUCUUCAAGCCCCCUGCAUUCCUUUUUGUGAGACUUUGUGCACACUGUGAAACUAUACUAAUCGGUUCGAGCUACAUUUACACGACAGGGACGUUAGCGGACAUGAUGUUACAACCUUUUUUCACGAGUACAGACAGUACAUUGCUGAUGUCUUACGACACUUUGGUUUCCCACUGCGCUAUUUUGUAUUGCUUAAAGUGGAACUUAGUCAUCACACGCCAGACGAUGAGUUACAGCUCGAAAUUAGUUUCGUGCCUUCCAAAGUAGUGACAGUAUGGUCAGAGGCAGAUAUAGAACCUUCUAUCACUCAAGUGACUGCUGAAAUAGCACAAAAUUUGGAAAACCUCGAAGUAGAAGGUUCAGGUUUUUUUCUCUUUCGCAUUCAUGCCUGUAUCAUGAACAUUGGACGUUUGAUGCCUCAACUGAUUGGAUGUGCCCAGUUUGAGUUACCGCAAGAAUUGAAGCAUAAGUUUCGUUC